UCUCCGUUGGUGAACCAGCGGAGGGAUCAUUACAGGACUCGCAAGACUCCUUCACCCUGUGAACCUCACUACAAGCACGUUGCUUCGGCGGGUGUCCCGGCGGGGGUUUUCCCUCGCCGGGGCGCACAGCCCGCUGGCAGCCUACUAUACUCUGUCUCUUUGCGUUGGCAUCUCGAGAAAAAACAAACAAGUUAAAACUUUCAACAACGGAUCUCUUGGUUCUG
rnacentral:misc_RNA from 1 species